GAUCAUGGCUCAGGAUGAACGCUAGCUACAGGCUUAACGCAUGCAAGUCGAGGGGCAGCAUGGUCUUAGCUUGCUAAGGCCGAUGGCGACCGGCGCACGGGUGAGUAACACGUAUCCAACCUGCCGUCUACUCUUGGACAGCCUUCUGAAAGGAAGAUUAAUACAAGACGGCAUCAUGAGUCCGCAUGUUCACAUGAUUAAAGGUAUUCCGGUAGACGAUGGGGA
rnacentral:rRNA from 1 species